rnacentral:lncRNA from 1 species
UUCCCUUUCCCCCUCUCUCGGCCGAAACCCUACCCCUUCUUCUUCUUCUUCUUUUUCUUCUUCCUACUCCUCUUGCCGCCGCUCGCUGCUUAACCCACCACCACACCGCCGCCCCACGCCCUACUCACCACCACCUCUUGGCCACCGAACCACCACCACCCACCCCUCGUCCGACAAGCCAUCUCGCCGUCCGACAAGCCAGUCGCCGAGGCCGCUCGCCCGAACCCUCGCCGCUUGACGCCCGUCUCUCUCGUGCUCUACCCGUCGCCGAGGCCGCUCGCCCGAACCCUCGCCGCUCGACGCCAGUCUCUCUCGUGCUAUGCCCGUCGCCGAGGCCACUUUGCCCGUCGCCAACGCCGCUCGCCCUCGAGGCCGCCGCCGGACGCCGCAGGCCACGCCACCGCCCGCUCGACGCCAGUCGCUGGACUCGUUUAUCACGAAGCCUAAGGGUCCCUGUUCUGGAAACAUUGCGAUUUGCCCUCUCUUGAAUUCGGCAUUUGCCAGGAUCAAUCAAGGUACGGUCCUCAUCUAAUCUCGCUUUCCGUCGAUCUUAAGGCUUGCUCGGUUAUUUACCAUGACUUUGACCAUUGGUUCAGCUUUGCAUGUUAAUUAUCCUGGGUUGAAGUUUAUGGUAAGGAUUCUUUCCUGACUGAAGUUUUUUCACAUUUCAUGAAACUAUCUGUGUUAAGAGAGAACUUCAGCACCUCUAAGAUGAAGUUCUUGAAAUUUGACACCAAUGGCUUUGAGAAGAUGUUAUUUAGCGCCUUUGCAUGUCAAAGGAGACAAAGAUUGUGCUUACAUCAUUCUACCGCCCCAAUCUACGUUUUUCUGAGUUUGUUGUUUUCUUUUGUUCUAAGGAUUGGAUUAGGUUUUUUUGUGUUCAUAGGGAUAUUUAAGUGCUUGAAAACAGAAAUAUGCACCAGCAUGAUUUUUGGUAGAUUUACUCCUAAUAUGAACCUGCUGUUAACAGGUUAAGCAUAGCAGAGAACUUCUUCAUGGACUUACAAAAAGGAUUUCCAUGUUUUGAUAAAAACAUAUGGUUUGAGAAGAAAGAUCGGUGACAGCCAGCAUAUCCGAUAAUUCAAAUUUAAAAAUGAAGAAGAAAAAAAAAAAGAACCUGUUGGAACCUGGAACCGACCCUGAAACCUGUGACCGGGUAGAUUCCAGGUUCUUGGUUCUGACGGGUAGGUUCUAGGUUCCAAAUUUUUUGGAACCUGUACCCGAGAGUAGGUUCCAGGUUCCAGACGGAACCGAACCGGAACCUGGAACCGCUCACCCCUAGUUCAUACCACAAAAAGAAAAAAAUGUGGUAAUUUUAAAAAAAGAUGGUACGUUAUUAGAAAAGAAACAUUAUUAUUUUUAAUCACAAUAGAUUGGGAAGAUUAUAUGAUCCAAGCGUGAGAUCAAGGUAAUCGAAGAUGGAAUUUAGCGAGAUGUAAUAUAAUAAGUCGAAGAGUCGAACAAGGUGCUUGCACGUACCUUAGCAAGAACUGAGCAAACCAGGGACUGAUGUUAUCGCUUCAAUCUUACACUACUUGGAAAAAAUUGUGAAUUCCACCGGCUGGGGGCCUCUUGUUAUAAUGGCUAUCUACAGUGUGCUUUGGUCCACUCGUCAAUAAUUUUUACUUUUUUAAAGUGAGGAUGUACGUAAGAAGGGAUGAUUGAAAAACAUGACAGAGUUCGGGAAGUUUCAUAUCAAGCACCAAAUAUUUAUGAUAUGAUGUUAAUGACAUCGUUUGCAUAUAAAAACAAGGGUUAAUUUUAUAAAAAAUCACAAAGUGUGCUUAUUAUAACGUAAAUGCCUUGAAUUUUUUCUUUGCGUCACUGAAACCUUAAACUUGUCCAUAAUGACAUGAAUACCUCAAUUUUUUUUUUUUAAUGUUAUAAAAAUCCUUGGACUUAUAUUAAUGUGAUAAAUAUAUUCUAGAUGGAACUGAAAGAGAGAGUAUACAUGGGUUUAGGACGCAGACUUAAGUGGCAUUGUUUGAUCUGGAUAAUGUAUUUGUAAUUGUGUUAAGGGUAUCCACACGAGCAUUGGCUAAACCUUACCAACGCCCCACCGGGGUUGACGACUCACUCCAACAAAGUCAGAAUGGCCAGGGCAUCCCUUAAACACCUCAGAUCAUGUACAAUCUCUCUCUUUCUUUUCUCGGUCCGAUUUUUUUUUUUUUAUUAGCAUUUUUAGUUCUCCAUUUUCCUUUUAAUCUUUUUCUCAUGUGACGUUUGCAUUGCGCCACUUUUUCUCAAAAAAUAUUAACAAUGCCACUUUGGAUCCACGUCAGAUUUUUAACGUAGAUCUUGAACAUAAUCGUGAUGGAAGGUGUAUAUAUAUAUAAAUUUGAGAUUUUUUGUGACAUAAAGAAAGUUUAGGGCAUUAGUGUUGUAGUGAAUAUAAUUUAACGUUUAUAGAGGCAUAUUUUUUUCCUUAAUUUUUUAGUGUGCGAGAUUUUUUUAGUAAUCAAACUCCGUCUCUGACCUACGACCCAUCGUAUGCGAAAGAUUCUUAUUCCUUUGAAGUGCAUGCGAACAUGCUCUCAGGCAAAUCUCAGUCUCCACUACUUUCUGUUUCAUGCCCCGUUAUGUAGGCCUGAUGCGACCCCCCAGGUCGAGGCCAGGAAGCAAAUUGAGUUUUUCCCCCUUCCUGAAAAGCUUUAAGGAAAUUUUUAAAAAAGUAAGGGUCAUAAACGAAACAAAAGAGGAGACACCUUUUUCUCAAAUUUAAGGUUUAAUCGAGGUCGGCCGAUGUUCAAUCUAAGUAUAGCCAAAAAAACAAAGGAGUACCUUUUCCUAUCCAUGAAAUUUUCUUGUAGGGAAAGCUGCACAUAAGAAUGAGAGAAUUGUUGCAAGUGCUUCUUUGGACGUAAGUUCUUGGAAGAGAAGGAAAAAAAAAAGGAAAAAAAAUCCAAAAAGUCAUAAAAUUCUUGUACCUUGUCAAUUCAGUUAUAGAUAUUUCAAUUUUACCAGUUGAUUUUAAAUAUUUUCAUUUUUUACCAAUUGAGUUGGUCGGUUCAAUUUUGACCAAAAAUUACUGAUAUUGAUAUUGGCCGUCUUAUGCAGCAAAGCUGGCAAGGCUGGCGUUAACGUGGAUAAUUUUCAAUGAAUUUUUUGAUUUAUUCUAUUUUUUCUUUUCCUUUUCUUCCCUUCUUUUUCCUCCUCUAGCCAGUUGUAGGCCUUAGUGAUAACCGAUGACCGGCCGAAGGAAAGGAUUGACAAGCCUUGCGUGCCCUUGGCAAGGCUGCGAGGUUUGAGCCUUGCUCAAGCAUAGUAAAGCCCGACCUCUCCUCGAGGCAGUGAGGUUGAGCCUUGCUAGUGGCAAGCAAGAGGCAAGCUUUGCCAAAGGCUUGCAAGGUUAAUCUCAUUGGUCGUUAGCCAUCGCUAAGGCUCAAAUGGUUUUAUUGGUAUUUAUUUAAUUUUAAUACCAUUGUCAUUGAGUUUCCAAAAACUAAGAUGUCUCUUAUUAUUAGCAAAAUUAUUUAAGGGGAAGCCAAGUAUAAAUAUUUUGGGGAAAUGCUUGGUUCAAACUAUAGAGUGAAUGGAAAGAAAUUUCCUAGGCCCAACUCAAAGUAUGCAGGUUUGACCUAGAACUUUGCACAAUCGUUUUAUUUUUUAGACCAUGGGUAUUUAUCUGAUUUAGUAGAGAUAUAUGUAAAACUCUAACAGAUGUUGGAGCAUCCACAUAUAAGCCCCAACCUGUUCCAAAUGAGAUUUUAUCAUCAUUCCCAUGUAGAAUCUUAGCUUAUCCUUGACAAUAUCGGGAGUUGCAGAGUAUAUUGUGCUAGCGCAAUCAAAUCAUUCUGCCAGAAGCAUGGCCAAUAGAAGAUGAUUGUGUUUCUUGAGAUCAUUGUAAUUGUGUAACUCAUCCAGCAAUCAAUGUUGCUUAG